rnacentral:piRNA from 1 species
UGGUGAUUUUAAUUUGUCACAAAGGUAAGC